UACGGAAGGCAGCAGUGGGGAAUAUUGCACAAUGGGCGCAAGCCUGAUGCAGCCAUGCCGCGUGUAUGAAGAAGGCCUUCGGGUUGUAAAGUACUUUCAGCGGGGAGGAAGGCGAUGCGGUUAAUAACCGCGUCGAUUGACGUUACCCGCAGAAGAAGCACCGGCUAACUCCGUGCCAGCAGCCGCGGUAAUACGGAGGGUGCAAGCGUUAAUCGGAAUUACUGGGCGUAAAGCGCACGCAGGCGGUCUGUUAAGUCAGAUGUGAAAUCCCCCGGGCUUAACCUGGGAACUGCAUUUUGAAACUGGCAGGCUUGAGUCUUGUAAGAGGGGGUUAGAAUUCCAGGUGUAGCGGUGAAAUGCGUAGAGAUCUGGAGGAAUACCGGUGGCGAAGGCGGCCCCCUGGGACAAAGCUGACGCUCAGGGUGCGAAAGCGUGGGGAGCAAACAGGGAUUAGAUA
rnacentral:rRNA from 1 species